rnacentral:rRNA from 1 species
CACUAGUGAUUAGAGUUUGAUCCUGGCUCAGAACGAACGCUGGCGGCGUGCCUAACACAUGCAAGUCGAACGGAUUUGAGGGGCUUGCUCCUUAAAUUAGUGGCGCACGGGUGAGUAACGCGUAGAUAAUCUGCCUGAUGAUUUGGGAUAACAUUUCGAAAGGGGUGCUAAUACCGGAUAAGCCCACGACGGCUUUGGUCGUUGCGGGAAAAGGGGGGGACCUUCGGGCCUUCUGUCAUCAGAUGAGUCUGCGUACCAUUAGCUAGUUGGUGGUGUAAUGGACCACCAAGGUUACGAUGGUUAGCUGGUCUGAGAGGAUGAUCAGCCACACUGGAACUGAGACGCGGUCCAGACUCCUACGGGAGGCAGCAGUGGGGAAUUUUGCGCAAUGGGCGAAAGCCUGACGCAGCAACGCCGCGUGAGUGAUGAAGGCUUUCGGGUCGUAAAGCUCUGUCGAGGGGAAAGAAGUGUAUUGUGGCUAAUAUCCACGAUACUUGACGGUACCCCUAAAGGAAGCACCGGCUAACUCCGUGCCAGCAGCCGCGGUAAUACGGAGGGUGCGAGCGUUGUUCGGAAUUAUUGGGCGUAAAGCGCGUGUAGGCGGUUUGGUAAGUCUGAUGUGAAAGCCCUGGGCUCAACCCGGGAAGUGCAUUGGAAACUGUCAGACUUGAAUACGGGAGAGGGUAGUGGAAUUCCUGGUGUAGGAGUGAAAUCCGUAGAUAUCAGGAGGAACACCGGUGGCGAAGGCGGCUGCCUGGACCGAUAUUGACGCUGAGACGCGAAAGCGUGGGUAGCAAACAGGAUUAGAUACCCUGGUAGUCCACGCCGUAAACGAUGAGUACUAGGUGUCGCGGGUA